AAAAAUAAUAUCUAAGCUAGAGUUAUGGAAAAUCACAAACUAACUUGAAAAGAAUAAAUAAAAGAUGCAAAAACAAAAUGAAGCAUAAGGAAGGAAUAUGCAAGCAGAGAAGAGGUGUAGUAAGAAAAGAAUGUGAAUUUAGGAUAAAUAAUAAGAAUUUCUUGGCUUUUUAGAUUUUUAGUUUGAGAAUUUACUAUGAGUUAACUUUAGUAAAAGUAUGCAUAUAUAUAUUUGUCACUUAAUCAUGGUUAAUUGAUGGAUCAUCUGUGAAGCAGUUAGACGCAAUAGUAAACAUGAACCGGAAAAGAAGAUGUUAGGACCAAACCAAUAUCACCACGAAGAGCGUAGGGUUAAACAGCCAUUCAUGAAUAAUAGCUUUAAAAUGAUAAAGGAAUAUAAUGACGGCUAGAUUUGAACUAUUUUUCGUAUCCCUUGUAUCAGAACAUUUUCUGUAAUAUAAAGAUAUGAUAAAACUAAAGCUCAGAAUUAUAAUAUUAUUGCCAAGUACAAUAAUUAGGUUUCAGUAUGCAGGAAAGGACAAGGGGCACUCACCCAGUAUAAAUGGCAUAGUUUUGAUUCCUCCAAGUUGCUUCUUUUUGCUCAUUAUUGUCUACUCAUUCUCCAUCUCUUCCUCUUUGUAAUUUUCAACUACUUUCUUCUCUACUUCCAUGCUCUUGUAAUCCAUUUUUCCCUUUCUGGCUAAAAUAUAUGUAAGAAAGAAGACGAAUGAAGUUUAGUUUGAGAAAGAAGAAGCAAAGCGCAAUGCUAAGAUGAUUGAGCCAAACAAGAUUGUGGGGACUAUUUAUAGAAAAUAGCUGGCAUGUGAAUGUGUUUGAUUUUAUUCUUUGAUUGCCCAUUAUUAAUUUUUUGUUCUAAUUAUUUUAAAAACUUGGUGGAACGUCAUCUCUUUCUAGAUUUGAGUCCCUUGUUAGAACCGUGUAAUAUUUUCACUGGCUUCUCUUGAAAUUAUAUCGUGUUCUAACCAAAAUGUGAAUCUUGGUAAGUAAUUUGAAUAGUAGCUGUAUGGUAGUACUACACUAUUUUUCUUCAUUUUUAUCUUUGGAAGGGAUCAGGCAAUGUGUCAAAAUGGGUGCUUACUACUGUUUCUCAGACAUUUAAUUAGAAAAACAAAUAUGUCGAAGCAAAUUGUGGGCAUUUUAUAUAAAAAGAGCCCUAGGCAUAAGAGCCCUAGGCAUACUACCUAGUGGAUUUCAAAAGAAAUUGUGC
rnacentral:lncRNA from 1 species